GUCUAUGGCCAUACCACCCUGAACGCGUCUGGUCUCGUCUGAUCUCGGAAGCUAAGCAGGGUCGGGCCUGGUUAGUACCUGGAUGGGAGAAUUAAAAUGUCUAUAGUAU
ensembl:rRNA 5S_rRNA 5S ribosomal RNA